UUCCUGAUGCUGAUGUGAUGCUCUGAACUGGCUAGGGAACAACAAUCUGAUUGGUGGGAAGUGGAAGAGUCCAGCCCACCGCCUUCUUAAGUUGGCUGGCAUUGUCAAAGAAGGAAAUUGCCAGAAAGAAAUGUAACCCUCUAAGUACAGUAACGUAAACCAGAAGAAUGUGAUUCUGAUGACACUCUUAUCCCAUCCUGUGAACAAACGUUCGGGAGAAGUGAAAGAACCCCAUGGGAUAAAAGGCCCCCUUCUCCAUCAUGAAAAUGUAUCAGUUAAGAAAGUGCCUGCAUCUGGAGUCCUCUGAGCCCCCCACAGAUACAAGUCGAGGGCCGACUUUCCUGUUUGUCCUUUUCUUCCCAUGGAAACAGAAUCCACAGUGGAGCAAAGAUGGUCCUGGAUGCCUUAAGAGGGAAACGUUGAACACCACAUAAAUAAAGGUUGACUUGGUGCAGAAGUGUACAGUGCCAUGUCCCUGCAUCUUCAUGGAGAAAUGUAUUCUUUCCACAUGAGAAGCAACACCGUCCAUGCAAACUGUGACUCCGUCCCACACAGUGCAUAUAAAACUGCAGCCCGGAGCCUCAAGCUCACCUCCGAGAAGCAGGUUUGUAGGCCCACUGGCUGUGUUCUGAGCCUUUCCAUCAAGUUUCUCCUUUGUUCAUUCUUUUUUUCCCCACUGUUCAUAACCCCUAAAUAUUGUUGGGUUUGGUUUUCCCAUUGUGAAGGAUAA
rnacentral:lncRNA from 1 species